AGCCUGAACGCUGGCGGCGUGGCUAAGACAUGCAAGUCGAACGGGUGUAGCAAUACACCAGUGGCGGACGGGUGAGUAAAGUAUCGCUAAUGUGCCCCGGAGCCUGGGAUAGCCAGCCGAAAGGCUGGGUAAUACCAGAUGAUAUAACUUUGUCGCAUGACAGAGUUCUCAAAGCAGCAAUGCACUCUGGGAGCAGGCGAUAUCGUAUCAGCUAGUUGGUGAGGUAACGGCUCACCAAGGCGAUGACGCGUAGCUGGUCUGAGAGGGCGGCCAGCCACAUUGGGACUGAGACACUGCCCAGACUCCGUACGGGGGCUGCAGUAACGAAUCUUCGUCAAUGCACGAAAGUGUGAACGAGCGACGCCGCGUGCAGGAGAGUCCGUCGGAUGUAAACUGCUGUCGAGGGAAAGAAGUUCUAGAUCUACCCAGAGGAAGAGGCGCUAACUCUGU
rnacentral:rRNA from 1 species